UACGGAGGGGGCUAGCGUUGUUCGGAAUUACUGGGCGUAAAGCGCGCGCAGGCGGCUAUCCAAGUCAGUGGUGAAAGCCCGGAGCUCAACUCCGGAACUGCCAUUGAAACUGUUCAGCUUGAGGAUGAGAGAGGUGAGUGGAAUUCCCAGUGUAGAGGUGAAAUUCGUAGAUAUUGGGAAGAACACCAGUGGCGAAGGCGGCUCACUGGCUCGUAACUGACGCUCAGGCGCGACAGCGUGGGGAUCAAACAGG
rnacentral:rRNA from 1 species